rnacentral:rRNA from 1 species
UACAGAGGGGGCAAGCGUUGUUCGGAAUUACUGGGCGUAAAGGGCGCGUAGGCGGCCCGCUAAGUCGAACGUGAAAUCCCCAGGCUCAACCUGGGAACUGCGUCCGAUACUGGCAGGCUUGAAUCCGGGAGAGGGAUGUGGAAUUCCAGGUGUAGCGGUGAAAUGCGUAGAUAUCUGGAGGAACACCGGUGGCGAAGGCGGCAUCCUGGACCAAUUCUGACGCUGAGGAGCGAAAGCCAGGGGAGCAAACGGG